rnacentral:rRNA from 1 species
ACACGUGGAUAACCUACCUAUAAGACUGGGAUAACUUCGGGAAACCGGAGCUAAUACCGGAUGAUAUUUUGAACCGCAUGGUUCAAAAGUGAAAGACGGUCUUGCUGUCACUUAUAGAUGGAUCCGCGCUGCAUUAGCUAGUUGGUAAGGUAACGGCUUACCAAGGCAACGAUGCAUAGCCGACCUGAGAGGGUGAUCGGCCACACUGGAACUGAGACACGGUCCAGACUCCUACGGGAGGCAGCAGUAGGGAAUCUUCCGCAAUGGGCGAAAGCCUGACGGAGCAACGCCGCGUGAGUGAUGAAGGUCUUCGGAUCGUAAAACUCUGUUAUUAGGGAAGAACAUAUGUGUAAGUAACUGUGCACAUCUUGACGGUACCUAAUCAGAAAGCCACGGCUAACUACGUGCCAGCAGCCGCGGUAAUACGUAGGUGGCAAGCGUUAUCCGGAAUUAUUGGGCGUAAAGCGCGCGUAGGCGGUUUUUUAAGUCUGAUGUGAAAGCCCACGGCUCAACCGUGGAGGGUCAUUGGAAACUGGAAAACUUGAGUGCAGAAGAGGAAAGUGGAAUUCCAUGUGUAGCGGUGAAAUGCGCAGAGAUAUGGAGGAACACCAGUGGCGAAGGCGACUUUCUGGUCUGUAACUGACGCUGAUGUGCGAAAGCGUGGGGAUCAAACAGGAUUAGAUACCCUGGUAGUCCACGCCGUAAACGAUGAGUGCUAAGUGUUAGGGGGUUUCCGCCCCUUAGUGCUGCAGCUAACGCAUUAAGCACUCCGCCUGGGGAGUACGACCGCAAGGUUGAAACUCAAAGGAAUUGACGGGGACCCGCACAAGCGGUGGAGCAUGUGGUUUAAUUCGAAGCAACUCGAAGAUCCCCGUGCACCAGCGGGCCGG